UAGGAUUUGGAGCAAAAAGAAGGUGAUUUGAAAGGAAUCUAUUGUCUCUUGGCAAUUGGUUCUUCUUCCUGAGAGAGGUUCUGCGUGAGUGUGGUUCAUCUGAAAACCCCCAAAUUAAUACCUGGCCUGCAGUGAUAAACCUAGAAGCAAAGGACAUCAUGGGAAGCCAGGAGAAAGAGUGAAUCCGUGUCCAAAGAAGAGCUUCUAAGGUAGGGCUGGAGAAGCGGAUUUGUUCAUUAGCUCCAAGAGACAGGCU
rnacentral:lncRNA from 1 species